rnacentral:rRNA from 1 species
GACAGAGGGUGCAAACGUUGUUCGGAAUUACUGGGCGUAAAGCGCGUGUAGGCUGCUCAGAAAGUCGGAUGUGAAAAUCCAGGGCUCAACCCUGGACCUGCAUUCGAUACGGGCAGACUAGAGUUCGGUAGGGGAGACUGGAAUUCCUGGUGUAGCGGUGAAAUGCGCAGAUAUCAGGAGGAACACCGGUGGCGAAGGCGGGUCUCUGGGCCGAAACUGACGCUGAGGAGCGAAAGCGUGGGGAGCAAACAGG